ACAAUGAAGAGUUUGAUCCUGGCUCAGGAUGAACGCUAGCUACAGGCUUAACACAUGCAAGUCGAGGGGCAGCAUUUCAGUUUGCU
rnacentral:rRNA from 2 species